GGAGGCGGACGCGAGUAGCUCGGCAGGGGGACUCGCUUGGCUUUCGUGCCAUCCGUGGACACAGUCGCGCGGGAGGAGAAGAUGACAGUGUUCUCCCUAAGGAUGAAGUUUGACUUUUGAAACAUAUCACAUGCUUAAAGCACAUUUGAGCUCCUGCAUGAACAGUAAGCUAGCAGAUGGUAGAAAUAUUCUUUAUUAAUUCAAAAAAUAUUUACUGCGGACCUACAAUGUGCCAAGCAUGUCUCCUGACACUGGGGAUAAGCAGUGAACAACAACAAAAAGACAAACUUCUUCCACCCUGAGGCGUAUGUUCUCGGUGAGAAAUGGGCAAUAAACAUAAUACCUAAGAAAAUUAUACGGGAUGUUAGUGACAAAUGCAGUGGAGGAAAAGGGAGGCCAGGGGCAUCAAGUGUGGAGAUCAGAAGUGGUAGAGUUACAAUUUUAAAUAAGAGGGACAGAUAGACAUGAUUAAGGAGGUGAAGUUUGAGCAGACAGUUGAGGGAGACCAGGAAGCUAGUUUUGUGUGUGCCCAAGUAAGAGUAUUCUAGGCAGAGACAGCAGCUG
rnacentral:lncRNA from 1 species